rnacentral:rRNA from 1 species
AAGUCGUAACAAGGUUUCCGUAGGUGAACCUGCGGAAGGAUCAUUACUGAAUUGUCAACAAGAGUUGUUGCUGGUCCUCAAACGGGGGCAUGUGCACACUCUGUUCACACAUCCACUCACACCUGUGCACCCUCUGUAGUUCUAUGGUCGGUGGGGCCUGUCCCUCCCACCAUGGUUCUGCGUCUUUAUCACACACACUGUAACAAAGUCUCAUGGAAUGUGUACCGCGUUUAACGCAAUACAAUACAACUUUCAGCAACGGAUCUCUUGGCUCUCGCAUCGAUGAAGAACGCAGCGAAAUGCGAUAAGUAAUGUGAAUUGCAGAAUUCAGUGAAUCAUCGAAUCUUUGAACGCACCUUGCGCCCUUUGGCCAUUCCGAAGGGCAUGCCUGUUUGAGUAUCAUGAACACCUCAACUCUUCAUGGUUUUCCAUGAUGAGCUUGGACUUUGGGGGUCUUGCUGGCCUGUGGUCGGCUCCUCUCAAAUGAAUCAGCUUGCCGGUUUUUGGUGGGCAUCACAGGUGUGAUAACUAUCUACGCUUGUGGUUUUCCACCAGGGUAACCUUCAGCAGUGGAGGUUCACUGGAGCUUACAAAUGUCUCUCCUCCGUGAGGACAGCCCUUGAACGUUGAUCUC